GAGAGAUAGCCAUGGCGAUUUGGAGCUCCGCCUCACCGCUCAAUCCAGUGUUUUGGUGGUGACUCGUCCGCGCUCUCCCUCGUGCUGCCCCGCUUCCUCCGCCUCCCUUCUGUUCCUGCCGGCGGGAUCUGCGGCAUCUCUCGGCCCCGCACCGAUCCGUCCCCAUUUCCGUCGCUGGCGAUUUUGUUCGUCGGAUUCAGUCCCCCCCCCCUCCCUUUUUGUUGUUCUUGUGAUCUGUUAGGUUAUAGAUUAAAGUAUGGGGAGACUCAUGAAGGCUUUUGGUAAGGGCACUUCUGUUGCUUGUGUUCAAGAUUGUGAUGAUUCAGAUGGGGAUCCUUUUGUCCCCAAUGAUUUUGCUGAGGAUGAUCCUUUUCAAGAUUCGGAGGAACGUCAAAUGGAUGAUCAUGAUUUCGAGAAAGUCUUAGGCUAUGCUUUUUAGCUGCUUUUUUCUAGUCUGGCUCUGAUAAAGAUGGGGAUUGUUUUCUGCUACUAGAAAGCCAUAUGUUAAGGAAAUCAACUUCAUCUUCAUUGAGAUUUGUUCACGCAGGAGAGAGACGACAGGAGGUGAUGAAUGCACAGGAGACGCGGGGGGGGGGGGGGGGGGUGUUACCUGUGAUUUAUUUUUUGCUUCUCCAGCCAUGUUUGUGUCUAGAACUCUAGAUCAUGGAGGAAUCGCCCUCUCUGGUGCCGCUUCUCUGGGGUACAUUUAGCACUUUCUCAGUGGAAUUGCAGUGUAAUUCUUUUGUGUGUUUUAAGUGGUAUUUACAGUGUACUUUUAGUGUAAUUACUGUGCAUUUUCAGUGAAAUUUACACUGUAUUUGUUAGUGGAAUUUACACUGUAAAUGUUAGUGGGUUUACAGUGUACUUCUA